rnacentral:misc_RNA from 1 species
GGAAGUAAAAGUCGUAACAGGGUCUCCGUAGGUGAACCUGCGGAAGGAUCAUUACCGAGUGAGGGCCCUUUGGGUCCAACCUCCCACCCGUGUUUAUUUACCUUGUUGCUUCGGCGGGCCCGCCUUAACUGGCCGCCGGGGGGCUUACGCCCCCGGGCCCGCGCCCGCCGAAGACACCCUCGAACUCUGUCUGAAGAUUGUAGUUUGAGUAAAAAUAUAAAUUAUUUAAAACUUUCAACAACGGAUCUCUUGGUCCCG